rnacentral:rRNA from 2 species
GCGGAAAGUCAGAGUAGCCAUAUACAUGCAGUCGAGCGGACAGAUGGGAGCUUGCUCCCUGAUGUUAGCGGCGGACGGGUGAGUAACACGUGGGUAACCUGCAUGUAAGACUGGGAUAACUCCGGGAAACCGGGGCUAAUACCGGAUGCUUGUUUGAACCGCAGGUUCAAACAUAAAAGGUGGCUUCGGCUACCACUUACAGAUGGACCCGCGGCGCAUAGCUAGUUGGUGAGGUAAUGGCUCACCAAGGCGACGAUGCGUAGCCGACCUGAGAGGGUGAUCGGCCACACUGGGACUGAGACACGGCCCAGACUCCUACGGGAGGCAGCAGUAGGGAAUCUUCCGCAAUGGACGAAAGUCUGACGGAGCAACGCCGCGUGAGUGAUGAAGGUUUUCGGAUCGUAAAGCUCUGUUGUUAGGGAAGAACAAGUACCGUUCGAAUAGGGCGGUACCUUGACGGUACCUAACCAGAAAGCCACGGCUAACUACGUGCCAGCAGCCGCGGUAAUACGUAGGUGGCAAGCGUUGUCCGGAAUUAUUGGGCGUAAAGGGCUCGCAGGCGGUUUCUUAAGUCUGAUGUGAAAGCCCCCGGCUCAACCGGGGAGGGUCAUUGGAAACUGGGGAACUUGAGUGCAGAAGAGGAGAGUGGAAUUCCACGUGUAGCGGUGAAAUGCGUAGAGAUGUGGAGGAACACCAGUGGCGAAGGCGACUCUCUGGUCUGUAACUGACGCUGAGGAGCGAAAGCGUGGGGAGCGAACAGGAUUAGAUACCCUGGUAGUCCACGCCGUAAACGAUGAGUGCUAAGUGUUAAGGGGGUUUCCGCCCCUUAGUGCUGCAGCUAACGCAUUAAGCACUCCGCCUGGGGGAGUACGGUCGCAAGACUGAAACUCAAAGGAAUUGACGGGGGCCCGCACAAGCGGUGGAACCAGGUGGUUUAAUUCGAAGCAACGCGAAGAACCUUACCAGGUCUUGACAUCCUCUGACAAUCCUAGAAGAUAGGACGUCCCCUUCGGGGGCAGAAUGACAGGUGGGUGCAAGGUUGUCCUCAGCUCCUGUCCUGAAAAUGUUGGGGUUAAGUCCCGCAACGAGCGCAACCCUUGAUCUUAGUUGCCACCAUUCAGUUGGGCACUCUUAAGGUGACUGCCGGUGACAACCCGAAGAAGAGUGGGGGGUGAAAUUCAAAUCAUCCAUGGCCCCUCUUAAACUGGGGGGACCACCUUGUUUCAAUGGGAAGAAAAAAAAGGGGGACGAAACACCCCAGGGUUAAGGCAAUUCCCCCAAAUUUUUUUUACUUCUCAUAAG